rnacentral:lncRNA from 1 species
CAGAAACGUUGUUUAAAAGGAAUACAAGUGGCACUUUUACAAAUACAAGAGAUUCCCCACAAAAUGCUCGACUAAAAUAUUCUUGCACUAGGAUUUGUGGAACUAGAGGAUAUUACGGACAAGUCAAGAACUGUUAGUUUAAAGUAGGAGUAUCCAAAUACCAUCCAGCUAAUUCACAAGUUCAUUCACGGAAAGAGCAAAAUGGAGCAACUCAUCAUUUGAUGGAACUUUUCGAUGAUAUGUUGAUGAAAGGAAGCAGCUGUGUUUCCAGUGACAUAUCCCACAAACAUGAAAUAAUAUUGGCACAAAUUGCUAUACAAAAAUAUGAACUAGAUAUAAUAGCAACAUAUGGCUUUUGAAAAAGCUUGAUAAGCUAAGUAAUUAUUCACGGUGGUUCCUUGUUUUAUAUUUUACACGUGAAAAGCUUGAUAAGCUAAGUAAUUAUUCAAGGUGGUUCCUUGUUUUAUAUUUUACACGUAUAGAAACAGAGGAAUCACAUAUAAGUAGAAAAAGGAUAUCGUCCAUGUAUGUGCUUCAUGUUGUUGAGCUUUUGUUUGCCGCGGACACUUGCUUC